UAUGUGAUCGUCUCUCGCAUAUCAAUAAGCGGAGGAAAAGAAACUAACAAGGAUUCCCCCUAGUAACGGCGAGUGAAGCGGGAAGAGCUCAAAUUUGAAAUCUUAAAGGGUUUCCCUUUACGAAUUGUAGUUUAAAGAAGUGUUUUCUGUUGAGGUUUUGGUAAAAGUUCUUUGGAAUAGGACAUCAUAGAGGGUGAGAAUCCCGUAUUUGACCUUUACUUUCAACUUUGUGAUACACUUUCAAAGAGUCGGAUUGUUUGGGAAUGCAGUCCAAAAUGGGUGGUAAAUUUCAUCUAAAGCUAAAUAUUGGCGAGAGACCGAUAGCGAACAAGUACCGUGAGGGAAAGAUGAAAAGAACUUUGAAAAGAGAGUUAAACAGUACGUGAAAUUGUCAAAAGGGAAGCGUUUGACACCAGUGUUGUUUUUCUGAAAAUCAAUUAAAGAACUGUUUAUGCUAAGUUGUUUAGACUUUAUCAGCUAACUGUUUAGUUUUGAGCUUUUCUUUAAUGCACUUUUCAGUUAACAAGUCAACAUCAAUUUCUUUUGCUGUAAAAAAGCUUGAGGAAGGUGGCUUGAGAUUCGUCUUAAGUGUUUAUAGCCUCUUGCCUAUGCAGUCGGAGAGAUUGAGGUCUGCAGCGUAGAUCCUUCGGGGCUAAAUGCAUUUGUGCUAAGUUAUAGCAUUUUAUAGACAACUUGUUGACUAUGAUUUGUCUUGUAGCUUACUCGCUUAUGUUAUUUUACCUACGCUUAGGAUGUUGAAGACUCUACAGAGAUA
rnacentral:rRNA from 1 species